GACGAACCGUGCGAACGUUGUUCGGAUUCACUGGGCUUAAAGGGCGCGUAGGCGGCUGAGCAAGUCUGUGGUGAAAUCUUUCGGCUCAACCGGAAAAUGGCCGUGGAUACUGCUCGGCUCGAGGGAGGUAGGGGUCGCGGGAACUGCCAGUGGAGCGGUGAAAUGCGUUGAUAUUGGCAGGAACGCCGGUGGCGAAAGCGCGCGACUGGAUCUCUUCUGACGCUGAGUGCGCGAAAGCUAGGGGAGCAAA
rnacentral:rRNA from 1 species